rnacentral:rRNA from 1 species
UACGAAGGGGGCGAGCGUUGUUCGGAAUUACUGGGCGUAAAGGGCUCGUAGGCGGCCAACUAAGUCGGAUGUGAAAUCCCCAGGCUUAACCUGGGAACUGCAUCCGAUACUGGAUGGCUUGAAUCCGGGAGAGGGAUGCAGAAUUCCAGGUGUAGCGGUGAAAUGCGUAGAUAUCUGGAGGAAUACCGGUGGCGAAGGCGGCAUCCUGGACCGGCAUUGACGCUGAGUGAGCGAAAGCCAGGGGAGCAAACAGG